rnacentral:rRNA from 1 species
GACUGAAUAUGACUACGAGUCCGAUAGCGAACAAGUACCGUGAGGGAAAGUUGCAAAGCACUUUAAAGAGAGAGUUAAAGAGGACGUGAAACCGGUGAGGUGGAAACGGAUAGAGUCAGCGUAUCUGGCCUGUAUUCAACCGCAUGGCUGAUGCCGAUAGGGUUUUCGCUUCCAGACUGGAGUGUGGCCUUAGCAGGUGUUUGCUGUGUGGUGCAUUUGCAGGUGGUGUGCGCCGAGACGCCUAGGGUAGCUGCUUGAGCUCGGUUUUGAGGCCAACUCGCCAGAGUUUGGUACCCGGACUGGGGGAAAGCUGUUUGCCCUGGGUGUGCCUGUUUGGCAUGGCUUACGGGCUCGGUUGGGUGUCGAGCUGGCAACUGGUUACAGUCGCAUGCGACAUGUGCCAGAGGCUAGUUCGGUCCUAGUCGAGCUCUCAUGCUCGUUCUCGGUGUAAAAGCUGGUCAUCUAUCCGACCCGUCUUGAAACACGGACCAAGGAGUUUAUCGUGUGCGCGAGUCAUUGGGUGUUUAAAACUCAAAGGCGAAAUGAAAGUGAAUGUUCCCGUAAGGGGCUGACGUGCGAGCCUGUUUGCCUCGGCAAGUAGGCGCAGCAUGACCCCAUUCUAACUGCUUGCAGUGGGGUGGAGGUAGAGCGUACGCGGUGAGACCCGAAAGAUGGUGAACUAUUCCUGUGCAGGAUAAAGUCAGAGGAAACUCUGAUGGAAGUCCGAAGCGAUUCUGACGUGCAAAUCGAUCGUCUGACAUGGGUAUAGGGGCGAAAGACUAAUCGAAC